UGGAUCUGGUGCUGGUGCUUCACUACAAAGUACUGGAAUUUUGUGGCCACUGCUAAUGAUAAUAUCAUUCUUUCUGCAAGCUGCUGAUACAGUAUUGAAGGAAAUAAUAUUUAUAGAUGCUGCCAAGAAUUUGAAGGGUGGCUCAGUUGAUCUUUUUGUCAUCAACUCGUAUGGCUCUGCUUAUCAAGUAUGGUCCUGAUUUCGACUACUAU